GGCUGCACAAGCUCAUCACACUGCAAAACCGUGCCUGUGCCUCUCAGCCCUGCCUUCGUCCCUCCUCCCCUUCCCUGUCUCACUGCAGCUCUGAGCAGGCUGCCUGUCAGUCUACACUCCCGCACCCCCUCCUACCUCCUCCAGGUGUGGGUACUUGACUGCAAUCAAAUACUCUCUCCAGUAAAAGGUGGUGGAGAGAUUUCAUUAUGGGCUAGAGCUGUGGUGCUUGGGGACCUGCUUGCACAAUGGGAGCUUUGUGUGGCUGCGUUAUUCUGCUGCCAGAGGAAGAAGCCUGGAGUGCUGGAAGAUGCUCGUGUGUGCUGGGAACUCAUAGCAGCAACAGUCAAGUUUACAUUUCGGAUGAUGAUGACAGCAGUGGCACACCAUGGCAGCCUGCUAAGCACACAGCUUCGAGGUACGUUUGUGUCACAGCAGCCAGGUGCAUUUCACCCCAGUCUGGCACCAAAUCCUGAUGCCACGUGGGUUGGCGGUGCCUUGAGGGGGAAGAGCUGAGCUUGGCGGCACACAGGGCUUUGCACAAGAGCACAGAAGGUCCAAGCUGUGGCUAGGGUGUGCCUGGCGUGGGAGUCGCAGCUGCAUGGGGAGUGCCGUCCCAUGCCAGCCCAGGGACAAGCGCAGCUCUUGGGAAGAUGCUCCAGCCCUUCCUCAGCACCUGGUGGAGAGUUCAUGGGAGCUGCCCGAGGAGAAGAACGCGCACCGGGAACACCGAGAGCCAGGAGGCAAACACCAGGGUUAUCACAGGCACCAUCGUGAGACUCAGGCUUGUGGUCUAACGAAGCUGGGUGAUCUCAGCAGCACCUAAUCACCCGGAGCUGAGGUGAGGUUCUGGAAACGUUUACCAGAGGAGAUGCAGGAUGGUUUCAACCAAAGGGUUGAAAAAAGGGUUGAAAAAAUGGGUGACCGAAAGGCAAACAUCAGAAGGGAUUGAAGGAAAGGUGUUAAGGGGUUAAGAAGGUGUUUAAGGAAAGGUUGGACGUGGUGCUUAGGGACAUGGUUUAGCAGGUGAUAUUGGAGGUAGGGGGAUGGUUGGACCAGAUGAUCUUGGAGGUCUUUUCCAACCUCAAUGACUCUAUGAUUAGAGAUCGGGAGAAAAGGACAUGUCCUACAGAGCUGUAUCAUCCAAGGUCUGAAACCCCAAUAUCAGCCUGAUUCCAAAAUGUCCUUCUCAUUACUGCUAGCUGAACUAUAGAGUUUGGUGAGUGAAUCCUGGAGGGCACCAUGGUGGUUCCCUUGACAGCUAGGCAAGGACACAGGAAGACAUAGCUGAAGGUCAUAGGAUAGAUGGUCGGGUCUCUGGAGUUCACAUUUAGCAUUCUACCCUAUGGUGUUUUUCUGAGAAAGCUGCCUUGAGGGACUUAAAAUUUCCCUGAGUGUGGACAAUAACUUUCGCUGCAUACCAGAGAUGAAGAUACUGAGCUUUGGCUUUAGGUAGAGCAAAACAAGCUAAGACUGUAGGAGCAUUAAUUCAGAUGCUGGUUGGAUGGUUCCCACU
rnacentral:lncRNA from 1 species